UGAAUGCAUGCCAAAUGUUUGAAAAAAUGUCUAAAUGAAAAAAUGAAUCAAAGAAGUGAAUUUGGCGUGUAUGUUUUGCUUAAAUGGAAGACCAUUAGCUAGCAAAGAUCUGAAAAUGCUUGGUUAUCCAAAAUUUUGGGAGUUUUUGAGCCUUAAAAGCAUUAGAAUAAUUUUCUUCAUUUUUGGGGCUGUUUUGAUUUAAUGCAUCCUUUGUUGUUGUUUACUUGUCAAACUAAGAUUAUAGUUGUAUUGUAGAAGUUAUCAAGAGGGUUUUGGCAUAAUUUUUAUGAUUUUUGGUGAAGAUGUGAGGGUUUUAAAAAAAUAAAAACUGAACUGAUAUCUUGGCAUUUUGACCACUUUCGGCUCAUUUUUCGUAAAACUAACUCCAGAAAUGGAAUCUACGCGAAAAAUGGAGUGGGGAGGUGUAUUUUGAGAAAUUUUUGGUGACCGGAGAGGUCGCCGACGCGACCGCCGCCGCCGCGGCCGCCAUGGCCGCCGGCUGAAGCUUCUUCAGCUGGCCGAAGAAGAAGAAAAAAGAACGGCUGGAAGUAGAGGAAGAAAAGAAAAGAAGGAAAGAAGAAAGAAAGAAAAAGGGGUUUGGGCUAAGAUGAGUUUUUUAGGUAGGUUUGUGGUUUUUUGUUAGGUUUUGGGGGAUGGGCUUUGGUUUAUUUUUCUUUUGGGUUUCGGUUGGUUAGGAGGUUGGAGCCUAUGUAUUUUUUGGCUGGGUUUGAGUAAUAAAAGACGGGCUGGCCUGUGUGUUUUGGUUUGGGCUUUCAGUUGGGUUUAGGUAGGUUCGGCCCAGGUAAAAUAAAAAGGGAGGCCCGAUGCCCUUUUCUUGCCCAAAUCAGAAACGAACUUGCACUUUAACCCCUGAUCUUUAGAGUAGUUUUACUGUGGCCCAAAAUAUUUUAAAUUUCUUUCAUGUAGGUCCUUAUAGUAAUUGUACUUUGGUCCUGAAUUUUAUCUUUUAUUUAAUUUUGACCUCUGAACUUUGGAAAAAUAUAAAUUGUGUCCCCAAAAGUUUUUUCAAUUUUUGCAAUCCAGUCCCUAGUGAAUUUUGACUCUUUUUAUUGUGAUUGUUUCUUUUCUUUAAUAGCUAAUUAUGUUACUUUUGAA
rnacentral:lncRNA from 1 species